AUGCUUUGGGGAGCUGUAAGUAAGCUUUGAUCCAGAGAUUUCCGAAUGGGGAAACCCAGCAUGAGUUAUGUCAUGUUAUCGAUAUGUGAAUACAUAGCAUAUCAGAAGGCACACCCGGAGAACUGAAACAUCUUAGUACCCGGAGGAAGAGAAAGAAAAUUCGAUUCCCUUAGUAGCGGCGAGCGAAACGGGAAGAGCCCAAACCAACAAGCUUGCUUGUUGGGGUUGUAGGACACUCUAUACGGAGUUACAAAGGACGACAUUAGACGAAUCAUCUGGAAAGAUGAAUCAAAGAAGGUAAUAAUCCUGUAGUCGAAAAUGUUGUCUCUCUUGAGUGAAUCCUGAGUACGACGGAGCACGUGAAAUUCCGUCGGAAUCUGGGAGGACCAUCUCCUAAGGCUAAAUACUCUCUAGUGACCGAUAGUGAACCAGUACCGUGAGGGAAAGGUGAAAAGCACCCCGGAAGGGGAGUGAAAUAGAACCUGAAACCGUGUGCUUACAAGUAGUCAGAGCCCGUUAAUGGGUGAUGGCGUGCCUUUUGUAGAAUGAACCGGCGAGUUACGAUUUGAUGCAAGGUUAAGCAGUAAACGUGGAGCCGUAGCGAAAGCGAGUCUGAAUAGGGCGUUUAGUAUUUGGUCGUAGACCCGAAACCAGGUGAUCUACCCUUGGUCAGGUUGAAGUUCAGGUAACACUGAAUGGAGGACCGAACCGACUUACGUUGAAAAGUGAGCGGAUGAACUGAGGGUAGCGGAGAAAUUCCAAUCGAACCUGGAGAUAGCUGGUUCUCUCCGAAAUAGCUUUAGGGCUAGCCUCAAGUGAUGAUUAUUGGAGGUAGAGCACUGUUUGGACGAGGGGCCCCUCUCGGGUUACCGAAUUCAGACAAACUCCGAAUGCCAAUUAAUUUAACUUGGGAGUCAGAACAUGGGUGAUAAGGUCCGUGUUCGAAAGGGAAACAGCCCAGACCACCAGCUAAGGUCCCAAAAUAUAUGUUAAGUGGAAAAGGAUGUGGCGUUGCCCAGACAACUAGGAUGUUGGCUUAGAAGCAGCCAUCAUUUAAAGAGUGCGUAAUAGCUCACUAGUCGAGUGACACUGCGCCGAAAAUGUACCGGGGCUAAACAUAUUACCGAAGCU
rnacentral:rRNA from 1 species